CGUGUAGGCGGCCCGAUAAGUCGAAUGUGAAAGCCCGAGGCUCAACUUCGGAAGUGCAUUCGAAACUGUCGGACUUGAGUACGGGAGAGGGAAGUGGAAUUCCUGGUGUAGAGGUGAAAUUCGUAGAUAUCAGGAGGAACACCGGUGGCGAAGGCGGCUUCCUGGACCGAUACUGACGCUGAGACGCGAAAGCGUGGGGAGCAAACAGGGUUAGAUACCCUGGUAGUCCACGCCGUAAACGGUGAGCACUAGGUGUAGCGGGUAUUGACCCCUGCUGUGCCGACGUUAACACAUUAAGUGCUCCGCCUGGGGAGUACGGCCGCAAGGUUAAA
rnacentral:rRNA from 1 species